rnacentral:rRNA from 1 species
GGGCGAACGCUGGCGGCGUGCUUAACACAUGCAAGUCGAACGGAAAGGCCCUGCUUUUGUGGGGUGCUCGAGUAGCGAACGGGUGAGUAACACGUGAGUAACCUGCCCUUGACUUUGGGAUAACUUCAGGAAACUGGGGCUAAUACCGGAUAGGAGCUCCUGCUGCAUGGUGGGGGUUGGAAAGUUUCGGCGGUUGGGGAUGGACUCGCGGCUUAUCAGCUUGUUGGUGGGGUAGUGGCUUACCAAGGCUUUGACGGGUAGCCGGCCUGAGAGGGUGACCGGCCACAUUGGGACUGAGAUACGGCCCAGACUCCUACGGGAGGCAGCAGUGGGGAAUAUUGCACAAUGGGCGGAAGCCUGAUGCAGCAACGCCGCGUGCGGGAUGACGGUCUUCGGGUUGUAAACCGCUUUCGCCUGUGACGAAGCGUGAGUGACGGUAAUGGGUAAAGAAGCACCGGCUAACUACGUG